ACGGGAGGCAGCAGUGAGGAAUAUUGGUCAAUGGGCGAGAGCUUGAACCAGCCAAGUCGCGUGCGGGACGAAGGCCCUACGGGUCGUAAACCGCUUUUAUACGGGAAUAAAGUGCGCCACGUGUGGCGUUUUGCAGGUACCGUACGAAUAAGGAUCGGCUAACUCCGUGCCAGCAGCCGCGGUAAUACGGAGGAUCCGAGCGUUAUCCGGAUUUAUUGGGUUUAAAGGGAGCGUAGGCGGAAGGUCAAGUCAGCUGUGAAAUGUAGUCGCUCAACGUCUGCACUGCAGUUGAAACUGGCCUCCUUGAGUGCGUAAGAGGCAGGCGGAAUUCGUCGUGUAGCGGUGAAAUGCUUAGAUAUGACGAAGAACUCCGAUUGCGAAGGCAGCUUGCUGGGCCGCAACUGACGCUGAAGCUCGAAGGUGCGGGUAUCGAACAGGAUUAGAUACCCUGGUA
rnacentral:rRNA from 1 species